GCGGGCGUAGUUCAGAGGCAGAACAUCAGCUUCCCAAGCUGUUUGGCGGGGGUGCCGCGACCAGCUGGAACUGACGAAAGGCCUGGUCACAGGCUUUUUGUAGUAUCCCCCAGUGUCCGCCCGUG
rnacentral:tRNA from 1 species